UCAUGUCAAACGGAUACUUAGAAGUGAAAUAUUCUUCUUUUCUGAUUAGAAUUGAAGAUGUUUUAGUUUAUAAGUUAUUGUUUCUUUUGUUCGGGGGAUUCUUCUAUGGAUACUCAUUUAUUACAGUUCUCAUGAUUCUCAAAAUGAAAGCAGAUACAAAAUGAUUCUGCACUAAGGUAUCUUAAAUAUCUCAUUUAGCUUCGUAAAAUGUAGCUUAUUUGCCUGCUUUAGCUUUUGCUUAGUCCUAGAUUUCUCACUCCCUGUCCUUUAUUACAAUCUGCUUAAAUUGUCUCAUGUGCAGUAGCCUUGCUGUAUCUAUGGUAACGAAGUUUGCUGACAAUAUUGUGAAGGGUAUGUCAGCCAGGGAAAUAUGACCUUGAAUCUUCAAUGUAAUCCUCUGUGUUUAUCAACAUGCUGUUGGGAAGCAAGAUGACUCCAUACCAGCUCUGCCCAAAUUUGCUCAGUGUAAAGGUUCUCAUCCCUCGCCUCACCUCUCCUCUAUGGUGAUUUUGAACAGAUGGCCAUGAAAUCAGUAAUGUGCCUGUAUUUUAAAGUUACUAUUAAUUCAAGAUCAGGAUUCGAACAAUUCUGGUUUACAGUGUUUGCUUCGACCACCCUUUUGUGUGUGUGUGUGUGUAAAAUUACAAUGAAAAUUUUACUCAAAUGUUGGUAUAUGAUUUGACAAGCUUCAUCUGUAAAACCUGUUUGAUCAAUUACAUCUAAGAAUUUUGAGGCUUCGGCCUUCA